AAAAAAGAAGAAGAAGAAGAAGAAAAGUUGUUCGGGUCGGCCCGGUGAAAACUCCGUUUCAUGAAAAACAAACGCACGCACACACACGCGCACACACACGAGUAAAACCCCCAAGCAAUCGCUUUCCUUUACUACUACGUUUCUUUAACGCUCUUCAGCAGUCGAAGUCUCUCUCGCUCUGCUCGGCGUUAGUCCUGUUCUUCGUUGUCGUCGUCAUUUUAGAAUAGAUGAAAAUUAUUCCUUCUAACAGAAGUUAAGCACUGUCUGAGGACCGCAACUGAUCACACCAUUAAUGGACUUUUGGGUCAUACAAUCAGGAAUUAUUUAGGGUUUAGUAUUGUACUGGGGACAUAAAAUCGACAGGCAACAAAAGUUCAUUUAUUGCUGCUCACUUGUUUUAAAGCUCAUGAUUUCUUAUGGGCUCUGCAACCAUAUAGAUGAUAUUCAUGUACAAAAUAUGCAUUUGGAGACGUCACUUGUCUGUACAAAUGGUUGUCUUUACUGCAGAAAUCUAUUUAGCAUUGCAUGAAUGGUUGUAUUGAAUAUAGAAUUAUUAUGUUUAGAUUUCCAUGCCUGGUAUGACGGGCAUGAUCCUGAACCAUUGGCUUCAUUGAUGAAGUGGUUACUAAUUUGGAUGGAAAGAGUGGAGACAGUGAUUUGAUUAGUGCUUGGUGUAGUUAAUUUUUAUUUUGUGUUGUAGUUACAGGAUUUAACCAAAGUUUAAAGAGAAUUCUAGCAUUUCAUUUGGAAAUAUAAUCUAUUAAAUCAGUAUGUUUAUGGAGUUUUAUUUAAGUAGAUGCAUGUUUCUUAUUUCUAUUAUUGAACCUUUUCCUACUUAAAACCCUUGCAUGCUCAUCAUCUGUCUUCAAAUUUUUUGAUAUUAUUUUUUUUUUAGAAUGUCUAAUCUUCCCUAUACGGUCAACCAACAAAAUGGGAAAAGGACAAAAUUUCUUCAGAAAAUAUGGUCAGGAGGUGUAUUAGAUGGUUACAGCAAGGAGGAUGAAAAAGCCGAAACUCUGAUCCAACAACUCCCCGCUCUUAGAGAUAGGAUUUGCCUUUUGUUGCGUUUUUAAUACCCAUGUUUGCGGACUUCUGCUUCUACCGAAAUCAUGAACUAUUCAGCCAAUACCUCUAUUGGAAAUCCCUCACCAUCCCCAUCAAAGACAGCAAAGAAGAGAGACAGAAGGUGUUUGAGAAAAAGAAGGUGGUCAAUUUUUUAACCAAUGGGGUGGCCUAUCUUAUGCUGGAUCACCAACUUUUCGCCAUCAACUUGCAUUAUCUCAUGCUUGUACUAUUUGGGGUUUUCUUAUUGCUUUUUGUCAUGAUGAUAAACACUCUCGUUAUUGUAAACAAAUUGAGAAAAACUUCAUCAUCGUUGUAACCUUUUGUUUCUGUUUUUUUUUUUUUUUUUUUUUUUUCCUUCUUAGAAAAAUGUUGCUUUUUAUGACCAUUUCUUUUUAGAUUUUCUUCUGCUGGAUUGUUGGAACUUUCUUCGUUCAUGAAUAAAAUAUUGUAAAAAAGAUUAAU